rnacentral:rRNA from 1 species
AACGAACGCUGGCGGCAUGCCUAACACAUGCAAGUCGAACGGAUCCUUCGGGAUUAGUGGCGCACGGGUGCGUAACGCGUGGGAAUCUGCCCUGGGGUACGGAAUAACUCAGCGAAAGUUGUGCUAAUACCGUAUGAUGUCUUCGGACCAAAGAUUUAUCGCCCUGGGAUGAGCCCGCGUAGGAUUAGCUAGUUGGUGAGGUAAAGGCUCACCAAGGCGACGAUCCUUAGCUGGUCUGAGAGGAUGAUCAGCCACACUGGGACUGAGACACGGCCCAGACUCCUACGGGAGGCAGCUGUGGGGAAUAUUGGACAAUGGGCGCAAGCCUGAUCCAGCAAUGCCGCGUGAGUGAUGAAGGCCUUAGGGUUGUAAAGCUCUUUUACCCGGGAAGAUAAUGACUGUACCGGGAGAAUAAGCCCCGGCUAACUCCGUGCCAGCAGCCGCCGUAA